GGAUUGUGGCUCAGUGGUAGAGCACUUUCCUAGCAUGUGUGAGGGAGGCACUGGGUUCAAUUCUCAGCACCA
rnacentral:tRNA from 1 species